rnacentral:rRNA from 1 species
CCUACGGGAGGCUGCAGUGGGGAAUAUUGCACAAUGGGGGAAACCCUGAUGCAGCGACGCCGCGUGAAGGAAGAAGUAUUUCGGUAUGUAAACUUCUAUCAGCAGGGAAGAAAAUGACGGUACCUGACUAAGAAGCCCCGGCUAACUACGUGCCAGCAGCCGCGGUAAUACGUAGGGGGCAAGCGUUAUCCGGAUUUACUGGGUGUAAAGGGAGUGUAGGCGGUUUAGCAAGUCAGAAGUGAAAGCCCGGGGCGUAACGCCGGGACUGCUUUUGAAACUGGUGAACUAGAGUGCAGGAGAGGAGAGUGGAAUUCCUGGUGUAGCGGUGGAAUGCGUAGAUAUUAGGAAGAACACCAGUGGCGAAGGCAGGUUACUGGGCUGUAAAUGACGCUGAGGCUCGAAAGCGUGGGGAGCGAACAGGAUUAGAUACCCCUGUAGUC